rnacentral:ncRNA from 1 species
AAAAAGUUUUAUUUUAGCUUAAAAAUUAUGUAUAUAUUAGAUUUACAUGUAAAUUUUUAUAUUUAGAAAAUUUUUUAUUCAGUAAAUAAUUUUGGUAGAUUUUUUUAUAAAAGAAUUGGUUAUAUAUUUUAAUUCUGAUUAAUUUUGUGCCAGCAUUCGCGGUUAUACAAUUAUGGUUAACAUAAUUUUUUUAAUUAUUAUUAAAUGUGUAUAUAAAAUAUAAAUUAUUAAAUAUUAGGUGAAAUUUUAUUUAUUAAAAUAUUUUAUUUUUGAUUAUGAUUAUAAGAAAUUUAUUUUUUAAACAAGGAUUAGAUACCCUUUUAUUUUAAACUUAAAUUUAUUAAUUGAUUAGUAUAAGUUAUGAUCUUUAAAUUUAAUAAUUUUGGCGGUAUUUUAUUCCUAUUAGAGGAAUCUGUUCUGUAAUUGAUAUUCCACGAUAAUUUUAACUUAAAUAUGUUUGUAUAUCGUUGUUGAGAAAGAUUUUGUAAAAAAAAUAAUUUUUAAGAUUUUAAAUUAAAAAAUAAUUCAAAUCAAGGUGCAGCUUUUUUAAGUAGAAAUGGAUUACAUUGAAUUUAUUUAUAGAUUUAUUUAUAUUAUAAUUAAUGAAUUUGGAUUUAAAAGUAAUUUUAAUGUUUUAAUUAAAAUGAUUUAGGCUCUAGAAUAUGCACAUAUCGCCCGUCGCUUUCAUAUUAAUUUGAAAUAAGUCGUAACAUAGUAGAUUUACUGGAAAGUGAAUCUAGAAAGU